rnacentral:rRNA from 1 species
UGAACCUCCUUCGGGAGGGGAUUAGUGGCGAACGGGUGAGUAACACGUGGGCAAUCUGCCCUGCACUCUGGGACAAGCCCUGGAAACGGGGUCUAAUACCGGAUACUGACCCGCUUGGGCAUCCAAGCGGUUCGAAAGCUCCGGCGGUGCAGGAUGAGCCCGCGGCCUAUCAGCUUGUUGGUGAGGUAAUGGCUCACCAAGGCGACGACGGGUAGCCGGCCUGAGAGGGCGACCGGCCACACUGGGACUGAGACACGGCCCAGACUCCUACGGGAGGCAGCAGUGGGGAAUAUUGCACAAUGGGCGAAAGCCUGAUGCAGCGACGCCGCGUGAGGGAUGACGGCCUUCGGGUUGUAAACCUCUUUCAGCAGGGAAGAAGCGAAAGUGACGGUACCUGCAGAAGAAGCGCCGGCUAACUACGUGCCAGCAG